rnacentral:rRNA from 1 species
GACGAACGCUGGCGGCGUGCUUAACACAUGCAAGUCGAACGGUAAGGCCCUUCGGGGUACACGAGUGGCGAACGGGUGAGUAACACGUGGGUGAUCUGCCCUGCACUUCGGGAUAAGCCUGGGAAACUGGGUCUAAUACCGGAUAGGACUCCGGACUGCAUGGUCUGGGGUGGAAAGCUUUUGCGGUGUGGGAUGGGCCCGCGGCCUAUCAGCUUGUGGGUGGGGUGAUGGGCUACCCAGGCGAAGACGGGUAGCCGGCGGGAGAGGGUGACGGGCCACACUGGGACUGAGAUACGGCCCAGACUCCUACGGGAGGCAGCAGUGGGGAAUAUUGCACAAUGGGCGCAAGCCUGAUGCAGCGACGCCGCGUGAGGGAUGACGGCCUUCGGGUUGUAAACCUCUUUCAGCAUCGACGAAGCGAAAGUGACGGUAGGUGCAGAAGAAGGACCGGCCAACUACGUGCCAGCCGCCGCUGUAA